UUUCAAGGGGCAGCCUCCAUUUUGAUACUCAAUGCUUGCUCUGCUUAGUAAACUAGUAGCCAGAGUGUUGCUACGGAAUAGUUAAUGUGAGCAAAACUUAGGAGGUGCUUUAGGCAAUGUCUGCUUGGUUUUUUGUUUUGUUUUUUUUAAAUUAGGAAGAUCUUUGUGAGAGAGGCAUCAUGCUGUAGCAGCUGCAAUUGAGUUUCCUGCUUUAUCCUUUGUAGCCUCUGGAGGAGUUAGGACAUAUUAGACUAGGAUCUGCAUCAGAGAAAACCAGACCACAAAGGACAUGAUACUUAUUAUGAUCAUGUCUUAGAAAUGUGAGAGAAAAGAACAAGAGAGGAAAUAUUUAACAAAUACCUAACAUCUUCAAGUGAGGUUGUUUCUCAGCUCAAAGCAACAUGGGAGUGGUCAAAGAAGACCAUCUCUGUCAUCAGCCAAUCAGAGUGCCACAAUGAGCCAAGAGGAAUGUAGAAAAGGAUGGGAAUGCAUGGAGGUAGCUCAGAAUAAUUACAAAAAAAAAGAAAACCUUUACUGGAAUGAAUGUUCAAAGAUCUUCCUUUUCUUCCUCCUCUUUUGGCACAACCUAAUAGUCUGAAGUGUAUCCAGUUCCAGGCCUUUAGUCCCAAGAUAACUUUUCUUACUGUGGCCAUCAUUUUAAUGCACAGGUUCCCAACUACAUUUCUAACCACAACAGGAUAUCAAAACAUUGGCUUCUGGUAGCCCUCCUGUAAGCCCUCCAACCCAAUGUAGAGUGUUUUGCCUUGGCAUUCUGAACCUGCAAAUGCCUUUGACCAGGCAGAAAACCUGUGUAAACACAACUGUAAGCUUUAAGGCUAAAUGUUUGAAUAGUUAAUUUUAUAUGUGUGCACUGUUUGCAUUUGACUGUUUAAUUGUUAUCUCAAGCAGUGUUUAUUAAUAUUUUUCAUACUUUUGCACAUUUUAACAGUAUUAAUCAUACCCAUUGGUAUUUGCAUUUCUGUAAAAUAAAGAGUAAUUUUGUUCCAUUGUAACAUAAUUUCACACACAUUUCCUAAUAAAAGUUCCCUAAAAGCA